UACGUAGGGUGCAAGCGUUAAUCGGAAUCACUGGGCGUAAAGCGCACGUAGGCGGCUUGGUAAGUCAGGGGUGAAAUCCCACAGCCCAACUGUGGAACUGCCUUUGAUACUGCCAGGCUUGAGUACCGGAGAGGGUGGCGGAAUUCCAGGUGUAGGAGUGAAAUCCGUAGAUAUCUGGAGGAACACCGGUGGCGAAGGCGGCCACCUGGACGGUAACUGACGCUGAGGUGCGAAAGCGUGGGGAGCAAACGGG
rnacentral:rRNA from 1 species